GUCAGAGAAGUGACGGUGGAUACGAGCGGGGCAGAGGAAAAGCAAAAUCUGGUCCCGUUUCCUGGAAAACAUGCCUGCAGGACCCUGGGAUUCUCAUCAGGUUCUCCUCCUCCUGGCCCUCGGUGAGGCGGCGUCUCAGUUCGCCAAGCUCCCUCUCCACCGCCUCGCGGUACUGGUUCCACUGGC